GUCUGUCUGUAAGUCUCUGCUGUCUCUAAGUCCCUACUGUCUGUCUGUAAGUCUUUGACACUCAAUUCAAAACUAAAUCAUUCAUAAGAAGAAACAAUUUGCUGUGUGUGUAUAAUAAUUAUCAAAAUAGAAACACUUAGGUUUUACUUAAACUAGAUCUAUUGAACUGUCAGGUUUUUCUAUCUAAGAUACACCAGAACAUAGCGUUAAAUAGGUCAAUGUCAUUUCUCUGUGUAGAUUUGUUUAAAUAUUUCCCUCUGUCAGUUCAGUCUU